AUGAAGCCUUUCGGGGUGGAUUAGUGGCGAACGGGUGAGUAACACGUGGGCAAUCUGCCCUUCACUCUGGGACAAGCCCUGGAAACGGGGUCUAAUACCGGAUAACACUCUGUCCUGCAUGGGACGGGGUUAAAAGCUCCGGCGGUGAAGGAUGAGCCCGCGGCCUAUCAGCUUGUUGGUGGGGUAAUGGCCUACCAAGGCGACGACGGGUAGCCGGCCUGAGAGGGCGACCGGCCACACUGGGACUGAGACACGGCCCAGACUCCUACGGGAGGCAGCAGUGGGGAAUAUUGCACAAUGGGCGAAAGCCUGAUGCAGCGACGCCGCGUGAGGGAUGACGGCCUUCGGGUUGUAAACCUCUUUCAGCAGGGAAGAAGCGAAAGUGACGGUACCUGCAGAAGAAGCGCCGGCUAACUACGUGCCAGCAGCCGCGGUAAUACGUAGGGCGCAAGCGUUGUCCGGAAUUAUUGGGCGUAAAGAGCUCGUAGGCGGCUUGUCACGUCGGAUGUGAAAGCCCGGGGCUUAACCCCGGGUCUGCAUUCGAUACGGGCUAGCUAGAGUGUGGUAGGGGAGAUCGGAAUUCCUGGUGUAGCGGUGAAAUGCGCAGAUAUCAGGAGGAACACCGGUGGCGAAGGCGGAUCUCUGGGCCAUUACUGACGCUGAGGAGCGAAAGCGUGGGGAGCGAACAGGAUUAGAUACC
rnacentral:rRNA from 1 species